ensembl:lncRNA
CGGGCCGGUGAGGCUGACGGGGCCGCCACCCUGAUGACGGCGGCGGGCCACGGGCGGGAGCGGGGCCGAGGCCUGAGCCUCCAGCCCCAGGGCCCAGAGUCAGCUGCGCCGGGCUCCCCUCUGGGUCUCCUGGGCCCGGCCCCCGAAGGCAUCUUCCCGAAAGAGUUACAGGCUCUUUCCCAUCACAGAGAUCCAUGCAGACUCACGUGCACAGCAGCAGAGUUCAUCGUAGCUGCAUCUUGGAAGCAGCCUAAGUGUCCAUCGACACCGGAGAGUGGGGAGUUGACAUGCAGCUGGGUACUACUCUGCCAAGAAGAAGGGUGAGCUUGAGUGUUUUUAGGAAAAGGAAUGCAUCUCGAGACCACAAUGUUAAGUGAAGUAGGUCAGACACACAAGCUUCAGUAUCACAUGGUUUCACUUAUGUGGGGAAACAAAGCACAAAGUAAAAGACAGAUAAUAUGAAAUAGGGAGGUAGGUCCUCUGCAGAUAGAAGAGGAACUAGAGCUGGAAGGUGGGGGGGGGGGAUGCUUAAGAAUGAGGAUGUGUCAUGCACAACAAAUGCAAUCACUGUGUACUGCAAACAUGUCUCGGAAACAUAAAAAAGAAAAACACAAGUUGGAAAUUUAAGAUUACCCCAAGAUUCUGGCCCUGUGGGAUGAGGUCCAGGAAUGCAAACAUGUUCCAAGUGCCCAGGUUUGGGAGUUGGUGGUCCACGGGCUGCACCGAGAGGCCUCAGCCAUGUGGACGAAGCCUUGGUGUAUGGCUCCCCCUCAGCCCUUAUGGGGCCCUGUGGCACCUGAUGCGGUCCAUACCCCAAGAGGGCUCUGUCUACUGCUGCGCACCAAGUGUCAUCCAAACCAGCGCAAGGAAGCUGCGCCUGGCCCUGUCCAAGGUGGCGCCCAGCCUUCCAGCACCACCUUCCAGCCGGCCCUGCCCGGGGUCACACGGGCACUGCUCUCUCCUGCAGCCCAGCCGGAAGGAAGCAGCCAGGCCACCUGUGCCAGGUGCCUCUGCCCUGUCCAAUUGGGAAGCGGCCGGGCCAGGGUGGCCUCUGGGAAAGUCCUGCUAACCCAUGCAGUGCCCCUCCAGGACAUGCUGCGUGACGGCUGCUGUCUAAAGACAGCUCCUCCAUCCAUCCUGCUCCUCCAUCUGUGCACACUCAGACAUCCCGGGUCCUGAACACAAUCAGAUCCCUUUCCUCUGCUUCCAGACCUGUUAAGCCAGCUGCCGAAGCCCAGUCUCCUCAUUUCCAGUUCCCACUCGCUCUUCACCCUCAUGUCCAGUGCUCUUCCACGUCACUCAGCCGCGUCUUCAUGAAAACGAGGGCCAGGCGCACCCACGGGCUGCUGUGCAGCUCACAGAACACUUGGGUUCACAUCGUGCCACUGCAGGUCAUGGCCUGGCCAGGAAAGCGGGUGACAGCUUGGAGACCCAGCUCCAGCCCAGACUGUGCACUGUCCUCCCCAGCCUUGCAUCUCCGCCGCAUCCUUUGGAGUAGUUGUUGAUUCCUGUUUUUCUCAAGGGACUUAAUACAUUUAUUUUGAAAUAAAACCUGUA